rnacentral:sRNA from 1 species
UUGUCGUUGCCUCCAACACGACCGGUGAACAAGUAACAUAAAGCUGUCGGGGAGGAGUUUCCUCCCCGACCCCACCGGCUCCGACCCUUUGGUCGUGUGUCGGAACACGGCGCGGAUUGUCGCCAAGGAACACUGAAUUUGCUUAGGCAGACGACAUUAUGUCGGUGCUGCUGAUGCCAAAAGAAACCAAUAUGACUCUCGGCAACGGAUAUCUCGGCUCUCGCAUCGAUGAAGAACGUAGCGAAAUGCGAUACGUGGUGUGAAUUGCAGAAUCCCGUGAACCAUCGAGUCUUUGAACGCAAGUUGCGCCCGAGGGAUCCUCCCGAGGGCACGCCUGCCUGGGCGUUAGAAGCCCAUCAACGCUCGGUCACCCCUCCAUGUACCUCGUGGCAGGGGACCCGACCAGACGCGGACAUUGGCCCUCCGAGUUUUAAACAACACGGUGGGCUCAAGUGCAUGGCCGUCGAUGGUGUCGGGAGCGGCGAGUGGUGGACUGCUUCGCACGCCAACCCCGACCCCUGUAUCGACGUAUGACCCUUUUUGACUCCCAAACAAGGAGGCUGUCGGUGCGGCGUCUCUGCCGUUCGGCAUCUUCGGACCUAUACCCCAGGUCAGGCGGGGCUACCCG